GAUGAAGAACGCAGUGAAAUGCGAUAAGUAAUGUGAAUUGCAGAAUUCAGUGAAUCAUCGAAUCUUUGAACGCACAUUGCGCCCAUUAGUAUUCUAGUGGGCAUGCCUGUUCGAGCGUCAUUAAGUCCACUUAAGCCCUGCUUAGUGUUGGGAGACUGCUCCAGCGGUGCUACCCUGUAGCUACCCUGCAGCUCCUCAAAGACAGCGGCGGAGUUGUGGUAUCCUCUGAGCUUAGUAACUUGUUCUAGCUUUCGAGUACACCACUUCCCCUGCCGUAAAACCCUUAAUUUUUAAUGGUUGACCUCGGAUCAGGUAGGAAUACCCGCUGAACUUAAGCAUAUCAAUAAGCGGAGG
rnacentral:misc_RNA from 1 species